rnacentral:rRNA from 1 species
GGUUAAGCGACUAAGCGUACACGGUGGAUGCCCUGGCAGUCAGAGGCGAUGAAGGACGUGCUAAUCUGCGAAAAGCGUCGGUAAGGUGAUAUGAACCGUUACAGCCGGCGAUGUCCGAAUGGGGAAACCCAGUGUGAUUCGUCACACUAUCGUUAACUGAAUACAUAGGUUAACGAGGCGAACCGGGGGAACUGAAACAUCUAAGUACCCCGAGGAAAAGAAAUCAACCGAGAUUCCCCCAGUAGCGGCGAGCGAACGGGGAGCAGCCCAGAGUCUGAAUCAGCUUGUGUGUUAGUGGAACGGUCUGGAAAGUCCGACGGUACAGGGUGAUAGUCCCGUACACCAAAAUGCACAGGCUGUGAACUCGAAGAGUAGGGCGGGACACGUGGUAUCCUGUCUGAAUAUGGGGGGACCAUCCUCCAAGGCUAAAUACUCCUGACUGACCGAUAGUGAACCAGUACCGUGAGGGAAAGGCGAAAAGAACCCCGGCGAGGGGAGUGAAAAAGAACCUGAAACCGUGUACGUACAAGCAGUGGGAGCACCUUCGGGUGUGACUGCGUACCUUUUGUAUAAUGGGUCAGCGACUUAUAUUCUGUAGCAAGGUUAACCGUAUAGGGGAGCCGCAGGGAAACCGAGUCUUAACUGGGCGUUAAGUUGCAGGGUAUAGACCCGAAACCCGGUGAUCUAGCCAUGGGCAGGUUGAAGGUUGGGUAACACUAACUGGAGGACCGAACCGACUAAUGUUGAAAAAUUAGCGGAUGACUUGUGGCUGGGGGUGAAAGGCCAAUCAAACCGGGAGAUAGCUGGUUCUCCCCGAAAGCUAUUUAGGUAGCGCCUCGUGAACUCAUCUUCGGGGGUAGAGCACUGUUUCGGCUAGGGGGUCAUCCCGACUUACCAACCCGAUGCAAACUACGAAUACCGAAGAAUGUUAUCACGGGAGACACACGGCGGGUGCUAACGUCCGUCGUGAAGAGGGAAACAACCCAGACCGCCAGCUAAGGUCCCAAAGUCACAGUUAAGUGGGAAACGAUGUGGGAAGGCACAGACAGCCAGGAUGUUGGCUUAGAAGCAGCCAUCAUUUAAAGAAAGCGUAAUAGCUCACUGGUCGAGUCGGCCUGCGCGGAAGAUGUAACGGGGCUAAACUGUGCACCGAAGCUGCGGCAGCGACACUAUGUGUUGUUGGGUAGGGGAGCGUUCUGUAAGCCUGCGAAGGUGGCCUGUGAGGGUUGCUGGAGGUAUCAGAAGUGCGAAUGCUGACAUAAGUAACGAUAAUGCGGGUGAAAAGCCCGCACGCCGGAAGACCAAGGGUUCCUGUCCAACGUUAAUCGGGGCAGGGUGAGUCGACCCCUAAGGCGAGGCCGAAAGGCGUAGUCGAUGGGAAACAGGUUAAUAUUCCUGUACUUGGUGUUACUGCGAAGGGGGGACGGAGAAGGCUAUGUUAGCCGGGCGACGGUUGUCCCGGUUUAAGCAUGUAGGCGGAGGU